UACAGAGGUCUCAAGCGUUGUUCGGAUUCAUUGGGCGUAAAGGGUGCGUAGGCGGCGCGGUAAGUCGGGUGUGAAAUCUCGGAGCUUAACUCCGAAACUGCAUUCGAUACUGCCGUGCUUGAGGACUGGAGAGGAGACUGGAAUUUACGGUGUAGCGGUGAAAUGCGUAGAUAUCGUAAGGAAGACCAGUGGCGAAGGCGGGUCUCUGGGAAGUAACUGACGCUGAGAAGCGAAAGCAUGGGUAGCAAACAGG
rnacentral:rRNA from 1 species